CAUAUUUUAAAAUGCAAUUGCAUUUUUGAGCUUGGACUUAUUUCAUGUUAUUGUUAUAUCCAACAGGCAAAAAGAAACUGCUAAAUCAGGUUUGAAAACUAACACGGAUUUGGUGAUGAUCCUCAGCCCUGCUUUCAUGAAAUAUGUCCAUUAUGUUUGGCUAAAACAGCAUGGGAGGUAUCCAUCCACUGGCUUUCUGACUUUGGUUCUCAGCUUGUACUUGUGUGAUGAGAUUAAUGUGUUUGGAUUUGGAGCAGACAAGAAUGGAAACUGGAAUCAUUACUAUGAGCAAAUCAAAAACACACGUCUGAAAACUGGACAACAUCCUGGAAGGGUGGAAUAUCAAUAUAUUGAGAAACUUCAUAAGCAACGGAAAAUUCAUUUUUUCAGAGGAUGGUAAUCUGGCUUUUGGUGUCUCUCAGGGGCAUUAAGAUAAGCAGCCCCCAGAACUGUAGAAUUAAAAUACUUAAGAAUAGUAGAUCUAAAAAGAAAAAAAAUGCGUAGUUUUGUUAAUUAGUUGCGUGUUGGGUAUCAGAGAUUACUUAUUUUUGGAAGUGUUUACAUACAAUAAAGUCCUUUCAGUAUACCACCAUACAAAAUAUGUUGUCCAUUUUGUUCAUAAAACAGUUUUCCUCCCCUUUGGCAACUUAUUUUUCAGCAUAUUUUGUCCAGUAUAUCCACUAUCUGUCCUCUGCACAUGUUGAAACCAUUUUAGUCUUGUCUCUCUAGCUACCCUAUCUGAGCUGUUCCACUGAUA